rnacentral:rRNA from 1 species
AUUGAACGCUGGCGGCAGGCCUAACACAUGCAAGUCGAGCGGAUGAAGGGAGCUUGCUCCUGGAUUCAGCGGCGGACGGGUGAGUAAUGCCUAGGAAGCUGCCUGGUAGUGGGGGAUAACGUCCGGAAACGGGCGCUAAUACCGCAUACGUCCUGAGGGAGAAAGUGGGGGAUCUUCGGACCUCACGCUAUCAGAUGAGCCUAGGUCGGAUUAGCUAGUUGGUGGGGUAAAGGCCUACCAAGGCGACGAUCCGUAACUGGUCUGAGAGGAUGAUCAGUCACACUGGAACUGAGACACGGUCCAGACUCCUACGGGAGGCAGCAGUGGGGAAUAUUGGACAAUGGGCGAAAGCCUGAUCCAGCCAUGCCGCGUGUGUGAAGAAGGUCUUCGGAUUGUAAAGCACUUUAAGUUGGGAGGAAGGGCAGUAAGUUAAUCCCUUGCUGUUUUGACGUUACCAACAGAAUAAGCACCGGCUAACUUCGUG